rnacentral:rRNA from 1 species
ACCUUUACUACAUGGAUAACCGUGGUAAUUCUAGAGCUAAUACAUGCGAAAAAUCCCGACUGUUUCUGGAAGGGAUGUAUUUAUUAGAUAAAAAACCAACCCCGGGCAACCGGGACCCUUUAUUGGUGAUUCAUAAUAACUUUGCGAAUCGUAUGGCUUUAACGCCGACGAUGGUUCAUUCGAAUUUCUGCCCUAUCAACUUUCGAUGGUAAUGUAGUGGAUUACCAUGGUUGCAACGGGUAACGGGGAAUUAGGGUUCGAUUCCGGAGAGGGAGCAUGAGAAACGGCUACCACAUCUAAGGAAGGCAGCAGGCGCGCAAAUUACCCAAUCCCGACACGGGGAGGUAGUGACAAGAAAUAACAAUACAGGGUCUGAAAAGGUCUUGUAAUUGGAAUGAGUACAAUUUAAACCCCUUAACGAGGAACAAUUGGAGGGCAAGUCUGGUGCCAGCAGCCGCGGUAAUUCCAGCUCCAAUAGCGUAUAUUAAUGUUGUUGCAGUUAAAAAGCUCGUAGUUGGAUUUUGGGCUUGUCCAGCCGGUCACCUCGCAAGGGGUGUUGCGGGGAUUUUUCCCGUUUCUCUUUUCUCGCUUUUCCCUUUCGGGGGGAGAGUGGGGGAGGGAGCGAGAGGGAUCCUCCACUGGCGGGGCUUGCCUUUUUCUCAUGCCGGGAAGGGAAGGGGUGGAUUCUGUCCGCUCUUUUUCUCUCGGUGUGUCACCUUCUAAAGACCCAGUGUGCUCUUUAUCGGGUGUGCUGGGGAUUUAGGACUUUUACUUUGAAAAAAUUAGAGUGUUCAAAGCAGGCUACCAAUGUACGCUUGAAUAGAUUAGCAUGGAAUAAUGAAAUAGGACUUCUUGGUUCUAUUUUGUUGGUUUCUAGGACCGAAGUAAUGAUUAAUAGGGAUAGUUGGGGUGGUUAGUAUUUAAUUGUCAGAGGUGAAAUUCUUGGAUUUAUGAAAGACUAACUUCUGCGAAAGCAUUCCACAAGGAUGUUUUCAUUAAUCAAGAACGAAAGUUAGGGGAUCGAAGAUGAUCAGAUACCGUCGUAGUCUUAACCAUAAGCUAUGCCGACUAGGGAUCGGUGGAUGUUAUAAAAUUAUUAAUGACUCCAUCGGCACCUUACCGAGAAAUCACAA